rnacentral:rRNA from 1 species
GACGAACGCUGGCGGCGUGCUUAACACAUGCAAGUCGAACGGUGAAGCACCUUCCUUUUGGUGGGUGUGGAUGAGUGGCGAACGGGUGAGUAACACGUGAGUAACCUGCCCCCUUCUUCUGGAUAACCGCAUGAAAGUGUGGCUAAUACGGGAUAUUCUGGGUCUGUCGCAUGGCGGGCCUGGGAAAGAUAUUGUUUCGGUGGGGGAUGGGCUCGCGGUCUAUCAGCUUGUUGGUGGGGUGAUGGCUUACCAAGGCGGUGACGGGUAGCCGGCCUGAGAGGGUGGACGGUCACACUGGGACUGAGACACGGCCCAGACUCCUACGGGAGGCAGCAGUGGGGAAUAUUGCACAAUGGGCGCAAGCCUGAUGCAGCGACGCCGCGUGAGGGAUGGAGGCCUUCGGGUUGUAAACCUCUUUCGCCAGUGAAGCAGGCCUGUCCCUUUUGUGGGUGGGUUGACGGUAGCUGGAUAAGAAGCGCCGGCUAACUACGUG